UACGUAGGUGGCAAGCGUUGUCCGGAUUUACUGGGCGUAAAGGGAGCGUAGGUGGAUUUUUAAGUGAGAUGUGAAAUACUCGGGCUCAACCUGAGAGCUGCAUUCCAAACUGGAUAUCUAGAGUGCAGGAGAGGAAAGUAGAAUUCCUAGUGUAGCGGUGAAAUGCGUAGAGAUUAGGAAGAACACCAGUGGCGAAGGCGACUUUCUGGACUGUAACUGACACUGAGGCUCGAAAGCGUGGGGAGCAAACAGG
rnacentral:rRNA from 1 species